GAUGAAGAACGUAGCAAAAUGCGAUGAGUAAUGUGAAUUGCAGAAUUCAGUGAAUCAUCGAAUCUUUGAACGCACAUUGCGCCCGCCAGUAUUCUGGCGGGCAUGCCUGUUCGAGCGUCAUUUCAACCCUCAAGCACAGCUUGGUGUUGGGACUCGCGUUAAUUCGCGUUCCCCAAAUUGAUUGGCGGUCACGUCGAGCUUCCAUAGCGUAGUAGUAAAACCCUCGUUACUGGUAAUCGUCGCGGCCACGCCGUUAAACCCCAACUUCUGAAUGUUGACCUCGGAUCAGGUAGGAAUACCCGCUGAACUUAAGCAUAUCAAUAAGCGGAGGA
rnacentral:misc_RNA from 1 species